UUUCCGUAGGUGAACCUGCGGAAGGAUCAUUACCAAACGUGCCUUCGGGUCCAACCCUGCCUACAUACCUUCUGUUGCUUUGGCGGGUCGUCCGUCCCGGCCGCCGGCGCCCCGCUGGCGCGCGCCCGCCCGAGGACCCCCAACCCUGAUGUGAACGUGUCGUCCGAGAAUACCAUUCAAUCGUUAAAACUUUCAACAACGGAUCUCUUGGUUCUG
rnacentral:misc_RNA from 1 species